CCUGGUGGCUCAGAUGGUAAAGAAUCUGCCUGCAAUGCAGGAGACCCAGGUUCCAUCCCUGGGUCAGGA
rfam:TPA: Bos taurus chromosome 5, whole genome shotgun sequence.